UGCAUCCCAACUUCAUCUUGCAGAUGCUUCUCCCCCUUUAACAACAUCAAAAAGAGACAAAAUAAUCCAUGAGAAGUAUCUUAUAUCACACAUAUACUAAUAUAACACACAAAGGCAUUUGCAAAUAUAAAAGCAUCAAUAGAACAACACUCACAUAUAAUGAUGUAAAUAUUGAAAAUGCAUAAACAUAAAUAAAAGUAAUUUAAGAAAC
rnacentral:lncRNA from 1 species